CUGAGCCUGACAGUGAGAUGCAGGAAGAAGAAAGGAGUCAGUGUGGCGCCCCCUUUUGGACCCACUUUGCACGCAGGCUGGUGCCUCUCCCUCAUUCUACCCAGCAGAGCUGUAGUAGCCAGAAGCACCGGUUUCGCUGCGUCAUCUUUUCUCCUGUUUUUACAGGUUUGUGGGGCUUGUUUUGCUGUAUACAGUUAACGUAGUGUCUAAUUAAGGAUGACCCUAGCAAGAACCUUACCCGGCAGGCACUGAGAGCGGUGUUAUCCCUCAGUAGUUGGCGCAAUCCAGGUGAUCUCCCUUUCCAGAUAAGGACUACAAGUCCCGUUUUCCAGUCAGUUGGGAUGAUGCAUGACUCCCAAAUGGAAACAAAGAUUGCCUGCAAUACCAGAAGGACCAGCCCAGCGGAUCACAACUGCAGUGUCACCCGCCCUGACUGCAAGCCUCCGAGGAACAGCUUCAGAUCUGUCCUUCUCAGUUCCACUGAGAGUUGUCACCAAGUCGGGCACUGCGACUGCUCUCUAUAAUAUCCAGGGUGCCCUGCGAGAUGAUACAUCUCCUUCUUGGAACACUGGCAACACCGAC